CAUUAUUUUCCCCUUGCUUCCAAAAAAGAUUCAAGAAACACUAAUGGCAACCCUUCGAGUCGACGAAAUUCAUAAAAUUCUCCGUGAACGUAUUGAACAAUAUAAUAGGAAAGUAGGGAUUGAGAAUAUAGGUCGCGUAGUUCAAGUGGGGGAUGGGAUUGCUCGUAUUAUAUGUCUUGGUGAAAUAAUGUCAGGUGAAUUAGUCGAAUUUGCAGAAGGUACUAGGGGUAUUGCUCUAAAUUUGGAAUCCAAAAAUGUUGGGAUUGUAUUAAUGGGGGAUGGGAUUGCUCAUAUUAUAGGUCUUGGUGAAAUAAUGUCAGGUGAAUUAGUCGAAUUUGCAGAAGGUACUAGGGGUAUUGCUCUAAAUUUGGAAUCCAAAAAU